CCUGUAUUUUACACCUCUUUCCUAGCCUGACUAGCCAGCCCAUCUCAAACAUCCUGUAUUUUACACCUCUUUCCUAGCCUGACUAGCCAGCCCAUCUCAAACAUCCUGUAUUUGACACCUCUUUCCUAGCCUGACUAGCCAGCCCAUCUCAAACAUCCUGUAUUUUACACCUCUUUCCUAGCCUGACUAGCCAGCCCAUCUCAAACAUCCUGUAUUUUACACCUCUUUCCUAGCCUGACUAGCCAGCCCAUCUCAAACAUCCUGUAUUUGACACCUCUUUCCUAGCCUGACUAGCCAGCCCAUCUCAAACAUCCUGUAUUUUACACCUCUUUCCUAGCCUGACUAGCCAGCCCAUCUCAAACAUCCUGUAUUUUACACCUCUUUCCUAGCCUGACUAGCCAGCCCAUCUCAAACAUCCUGUAUUUUACACCUCUUUCCUAGCCUGACUAGCCAGCCCAUCUCAAACAUCCUGUAUUUGACACCUAGCUCUUUCCUAGCCUGACUAGCCAGCCCAUCUCAAACAUCCUGUAUUUGACACCUCUUUCCUAGCCUGACUAGCCAGUCCAUCUCAAACAUCCUGUAUUUUACACCUCUUUCCUAGCCUGGCUAGCCAGCCCAUCUCAAACAUCCUGUAUUUUACACCUCUUUCCUAGCCUGACUAGCCAGCCCAUCUCAAACAUCCUGUAUUUUACACCUCUUUCCUAGCCUGACUAGCCAGCCCAUCUCAAACAUCCUGUAUUUGACACCUCUUUCCUAGCCUGACUAGCCAGCCCAUCUCAAACAUCCUGUAUUUUACACCUCUUUCCUAGCCUGACUAGCCAGCCCAUCUCAAACAUCCUGUAUUUUACACCUCUUUCCUAGCCUGACUAGCCAGCCCAUCUCAAACAUCCUGUAUUUGACACCUAGCUCUUUCCUAGCCUGACUAGCCAGCCCAUCUCAAACAUCCUGUAUUUGACACCUCUUUCCUAGCCUGACUAGCCAGCCCAUCUCAAACAUCCUGUAUUUUACACCUCUUCCCUAGCCUGACUAGCCAGCCCAUCUCUUUUGCAUUCUGUUCCAUUGCUAUACGAAAUUUGAAUGUAAAUGAAAAAUCAUGUAGGGCUGGUAUGUUUUAUUUAUUUUAUUUUAUUAACACUGGUACGUUUUAUUUGUUGACCUUCAAAUGAAAUGUGCUGUGACAUGACAUGUCAUCGGUCUUACACAUUUUGGUUAUAUACUGUACUUCUGUAUUCUAUAGUAACCAAUUUGCAUCUUCCUUUUCUAAACAGAAAUGCUGGCAGGGAUGGAGAGGUUUUUUGAGGGGGGCAUUGAUGGCAAAGUACCAAAGUACUCACUUUGAAAAAUACAACUCCAAGACUAUUGGAGAAAUAUUUGCUGUGAGUCUCGCACAAGGGGGACCACCACCAAACUUUUUAAUGCAGUGGUGUUAGAGCUACAUAUCCACUGGUGAAUUUGACCAGGGAUCAAUAACUGAAAAGGACGUUGUGGACCUGGAGCUCAUGGAACUAAUAAAAGAGAUUGAGGCUGCUGACAGUGAACUCCUGAUGGCGUACACAGACAGGAUUUUGUCAUGUGGAUACACAGGGCCUGUGUCCAUUGAAAAAAAAAGGAAGACAUUGUGCGCUCUUUAGUUCUACACUCUAUAGUCAGGUUACUGCCCAUGCUCCAACAAAUCUCCUCUGGAAUGAAACGGUAUGACCUCCUCACCUUAGUCCAGCAGGAAAACGACAUCUGCAGACAGCUUUUUGUUCCAGGAUCUUUUUGCAAGGUGGAUGCUGAUUUUCUUGUGCAGUCCCUAUCCCCUGUCUUUAGUGAGAUUGGCACAAUG